CCGGUGUAAACCGAGAGGAAGUGGGGAUGACGUCAAAUCAGCACGGCCCUUAUGUCCAGGGCUACACACGUGUUACAAUGGCCGGUACAGAGGGCAGCUACCUGGAGACAGGAUGCGAAUCUCGAAAGCCGGUCUCAGUUCGGAUUCGGAGUCUGCAACUCGACUCCGUGAAGCUGGAUUCGCUAGUAAUCGCGCAUCAGCCAUGGCGCGGUGAAUACGUUCCCGGGCCUU
rnacentral:rRNA from 1 species